rnacentral:rRNA from 1 species
CACGUAGGGAGCAAGCGUUGUCCGGAUUUAUUGGGCGUAAAGAGCUCGUAGGUGGUUCCGUAAGUCAGGUGUGAAACCUCCAGGCUCAACCUGGAGACGCCACCUGAUACUGCGGUGACUGGAGUCCGGUAGGGGAGCGUGGAAUUCCUGGUGUAGCGGUGAAAUGCGCAGAUAUCAGGAGGAACACCGAUGGCGAAGGCAGGUCUCUGGGCCACUACUGACGCUGAGAAGCGAAAGCAUGGGGAGCGAACAGG